rnacentral:rRNA from 1 species
AUUGAACGCUGGCGGCGUGCCUAAUACAUGCAAGUCGACCUUAGUGGCGAACGGCUGAGUAACCCGUCGGUAACCUGCCCAUCAGAAGGGGAUAACACUUGGUAACAGGUGCUACUACUUUAUACUGAUGGAUGGAUCCGCGGUGCAUUAGCUAGUUGGUGAGGUAACGGCUCACCAAGGCAACGAUGCAUAGCGGACCUGAGAGGGUGAUAGGCCAAAUUGGGACUGAGACACGGCCCAGGCUCCUACGGGAGGCAGCAGUAGGGAAUCUUCGGCAAUGGGCGAAAGUCUGACCGAGCAACGCCGCGUGAGUGAAGAAGGUUUUCGGAUCGUAAAACUCUGUUGUUAGAGAAGCGGUAUCUAACCAGAAAGCCACGGCUAACUACGUGCCAGCAGCCGCGGUAAUAC